CUAAAUCGAUUAUAAAAUUUGAAGAAACUUGAUUAUUAUUGGUGCGACAAAGUUAAAUAACAUCCCUAAGCCAUUGCAAAUAUAAAGAAACUAGUGAGCAGCAGACUUCAUCGGGGAUUCCAGGCCCUUUCCUCUGGGGAAUAAACACAGACUCACGUCUUCUGCUGCCAUUUAGACACCUGCUUGACUAUGGAUUUUCCAACAUCAUCAGACUCUUAUAUUAAGAAUGUUUGAGUAUGAUUCUAAAACGAAAUAAUAGUUGCAAUUGUACAGUAGUGCUACUUCCUCAUCGUACAGGGUGAAAGAAAUGCUAUCCAGUAGUAAAAGCUCUGGAAUCUGGACUAACUAUAAAUGGAUGCAUGAUCCCACACGUUUCCUGAAUGCAGUCCAUGAACACAACCGCACAAGCAGUUUGCACAGGAUUCCUUGCUGAUUUUCCCUUUCUAGCUUCAAUUUUUCAGCAGCGAGGCAGGUCUUAUCAUUAUCCUACUUGGAUGUCCUAAACAAUCAAAGCCUCGAUCUCUAGUUUCUACUUCCAGCUCUCAUUGACUCGUUAUUUAGUGGCCAUGUUGAACUUCUAAGCAUCUUUUCACCAUUCUUUCACAGGAAUAUUUUUUGGUUCUUAUUUUCAUGUUGCCCGUUGCUGAGCAUAUAAAUGGUAUCAAGGAUAAAAAUUCUCAGUCACUGUACAAGGUAACUUCCCCUUUUCUUUUAGGCUCAAACUGGUAUAUCAGAAUCUAGACAGUAUCAGUAUGCUUUGCAAACACGAAAUGAGAAGAUGAAAUAUACAACAGAAAAUCCGAAGGAAAAAAUUAUGAUCCUUCUAGUUUAUUGUCCUCUCCCAUUUGGGAAUGUACACGGCUCCUCAGUUCUUCAAAAGUUUUCAUGCUCUCAGCAUCAAAGCCUCCAGCAAACUGAAAAAGGUCCAGGCCAACAAGCAAAUAUGUACAUUUAUCAGGAAAUUAAGAUUUUGAAGUUAAAUGGUUUCACUUUUAUAUGCAAUCUUAGUGCAAUAUUGACACCAGCACCAUAAAGUAUGCCAAAUCUAGAGGUCAUGAGUAGAUGAUUUGCACUUUUAAGUAUUGAAAUUCAGUAUCAUAUGAAAACAAAUGCAGGGACAAAAAAUACCUGAUGAACUCGGAAAGCAAAACGCACACCCUGAAGAAGCAAAAACUCUCUAUUUGGUUCCUUGUCAGGUCCACUCAACGCAUCAAGUUCUGAUGCUACACGUCCCAUGUACUUCCUUGCCAACUGUACAGAUGAAAGCUUGAUCUGCAACAGGAAAGAAGUUAUAUGAACAACUUACACAACCAAAGUGAUCGAACUCCUUAGGAAGGUAGCAUCAUGUAUACUUAAUCUAUAAUAAAUUUUAACGCAAUUCUUUUACGGAGAAAAUGUUUUAAAUAUUGCUGGAAAAGAAAGAGGGCCAGGGAAUCUGAUAAUGCAAUGACAUAAAGCUCUCUUCAAGGCUUCUCUUUACCCAGCAUGCCAUAGGGUAAAAGAUCUCAGUGAUUCAUUAGCGGCUUCAUACAUAAUUUGGACCCCAAAACAUUACUUGAAAAACUUAUUAGAUCCAUAUACUUUUAUUUGAACCUGUUAAACCCUUUUUAUGUAAGCACAAUUCCCAUAAUAUGGAAGACAACUUCUCCAAAAUUUUUCCAAAUCUAAGCAUUUGGUUCAAAAAUAAUGGAAAACCUAAUUAAAAAUCAAACAUGUAACACAAAUCAAAAGACUUGAUUACUCUUACCCCAUAGUCCAAGCAUCCAAAAAAAAAAAUUCUCCCUUUAUUUCUAUAUUUCUAGGAAGGCUUUAUGUAUUAAGCUUAGUAAGUUUUCCAGGUAAAUUCAGAGUACAAAUAAUGUAUCAAGUCAUUCAUUAACAUAUAAAAGUUAUGCUGCUAAACUUUUUCAUCAUAACUCCAUACAGAUAAACAAACUAUACCUUGGUAACUAAGCAAUCAUAUUAUCAAAGAAAAUUGAUAGCUCAACACCCACAAAACCAAAUCUCAUUUAAACACACACACACUCAAAAGAAUCAUACCUUGCCAACAACUCCUGAAUCUAAUAACCAAUCAGCUGGAAUCCCAUAUUCCCUGUAUCGUGAAAUAGCCAUGUCCCUUGUUCGUAAAAGUGCAUAUACACUAUUUUCCACCCUGGGAAAAGGUAAAGAGAUAAAAUAAGAUAGCAUAUUAAGCAAUUCAACAAAACAAAUUAUUUCCUGAUUACAGUAGAAAAUAUCAGGCCAACAACAAUACACCAAACGCUAAGAGAUUAUGAUAGAUAUUUUGAACUGCUCUUUGUAAUAUACAUACUUCUCAAGCAAUUUGUACAUCUUCUUCAAAGCAGCUUCACAUGUGUGUUUGGGAUCAUCAACAAAUGAGGUGACCUGUGUCUCUAAUUUCACCAGGUCCUGGUAUUCAAAAGCUACCUCUCUUAAUGCAUCAGCUUUACUUUCAGGCCAAUCAAAGUGCUCGGUUCAUCAACCUGAUCAAAUACCGAAAAAGAAAAGAACAAAAAAAUAAUAAUAAUAUCAGAAAGUCUCAAAGAAUAAAUCUAUUUGCUACAGAAAUGAUAAUUUUGAAUUAUUUGAAAAGUGAACUUUGCCUCCAUUAUCUUGGUUAAAGCUCAGAAGGGGGAAAAGAAGUCAUAGGUUUUCUAUUGUAAAAUGAAAAUUACAAAACAGAAGAAUUAAUCAUUAAAAUCUAUAUUAACGAAGUUGAUGAUGAAUUAAUCAGACCUCUUUUCUAAUUUUAAGCAGUCAUUGCCUCUGGCAGAUGACUUGCACAUUCUAGCCAGUGAGAAGUUAAUGGCAUACCAAGAAGGAGAGUUUCUCAUCUAGCCAAUUUACAAAGGCAACCAAAUCAUCUAUGUUCAUGAAGGAAGCUGCUCGAACUUCAGUUGCCAAUGACUGGACAAAAUCUCCUUGAGUUUCCACAUCAGCUUUCACGUGGUUGCCACACAUAUGGUUUUGCACCAUUAAUUUGAGUAGUGAAACCUAUGUUUGAUGUGGAGAUGAAAAAAUAAAUUGAAACAAAGGCAAAAAGUUAACGCACAGCUAAGAGGAAUGAUGAUCUGUUUUCAAUCUCUCCAAUCAUGUUGCUCCUAGCAUCAGAUGCAUUAGAUGUUGAAGAAAUCAAAGAUGAUGUAUCCUUCUUUGCCUCGCGUUUCAUUAAUGUCUGAUAGAAUUCAACUACUUCAGGAGCUCUGUAAACUUUAUCACCACUUCCUGCCCCUCUUGGCAAGCUUCCAGGCAGAGGAGGCGGACGAGGUGGUCCACCAGGUGGUGGUGGAGGAGGUGGCGGGGCACCUGGUGGAGGAGGUGGCACUCCACUUGAAGGAAUUUUAUUUGUGCCAACUCUAUCACCACUAGAUGGUUUAGGAGGUGGCCGAGGCACCCUGGGAGGCCUCUUCUCAAUGUCAGAAAGUUUCAUCUUGCUUAUCAAUUGAGAAGCCUUGCCAUCAUUAGAUUGGUCAUUUGAAUUACCAGAAGCAAUUGAUUUCUCUUUUAUUUGAGAAAGCUGUGAUGGCAGACUUACAGAUUUCUCUGUCCCCCCAAUUGCUCUAGAAUCAAAACUUGAUUUUUCACCAAACCUUGCUGCUCUUGCUUGCCCUGCUUUUUCUUUUAUCUGCUUCUCCCUCUCCAAGGCCAAUUUAUGCCGGUCUUUAUAGGCUGGAUAUUUUUCAUCAAGAACUCCUUCAACUGAUUUAGACAUUAAUUGGAAAGAUGAAACAACAUUAUUUAGUGGGUCACCAGGGGAAACUUGUGUUCUAAUAUGAGGAAAAUUUUGAGGAGUUUUAGGAGAGUCGGGAAUAUCUUGCUCCACCUUUCCAAAUGUAGUGAUGGCUACACUAUCACCAGCAUUUCUCAACAUUAAGGCUUCCAAUGGACCCUUUGGUCGGUGGCUUAUGCUUGUCCUGCUUGGAGAACCUCCAGAAAGGGAUCUGGAUGGUGAUGAAAGAGCACUUAAAUCGUCUUUGCUUUUUCCCCAUUUCUUGAUCUUUUGGAUCAAACUAGGUUUCUUACUGAGACUACCGUAUCUGCUAGUAGAGCUAUCAAUGGAAGCAUUGUCAAAGUCCUCACUUCCAGGAGAAGAUGGGUGAGAAAAGCUGCUUUCAAGAUCCGUGUCUCCCUGUCCACGUUCUGAUCCUGCAUAGUCUAACAUUAACUGUUUAGCCUUUUCUUGGGACUUGGGGCUCAAACUUUUGCUAAGAUCACGUGCUGAAAUUUUUCCUGGAGGUGCUUGGUAGUUCCGGAGCUCAUACCUCAAGCAUGCAUUGACCCAACGAAGGUACACUACUUCUUCAACUUCACUAAACCUGUUAAUUUGAAGUCCUUCUACUUGCUUUAAUAAGUCUUCAUUUACAUGCCUUAAAUUAUUGACCUCCUCCCUGGUAUUGGCAACCAUUUCACUCUCUGUCAUAUUGGAAAUGGCUGCUAUUUUAGCUUGGGCAGCAUCCAGCUUAACAGUCAGCUCCCUCUUUUCAUGUUGAAGCUCCUUAUUUUUCCUCCUAAGUUCUACAACUUCCACCUCUAACUCCUUCACAGCCUUCAACUUCUUCUCAACCUCUGCAUCUUUCUUGAUGGCUUCUUCCUCCUUAGCCUGAAGACCAAAAACUUGUUGUUUGAGCAACAAUAAUUGGCCCUUUGUCUGGUUAGCUUCAAGCUGAAUUUGCCUCUGUAGCUCCUUUAUCUUAUUCCUUGCCACCUCCAAUUCCUUCUUGGCAGAUUCUCCCUGUGUAAUCUCUUCUAGAAGCUUCUUCCUCUCAGCCUGCAAGGAGUUGAUGGUAAUAUUUAACAUGUCAAUCUCAACUGUCUUGAUCUUAAGUUGCCUUUGUAAUUCCGUGAUGUCUGAUUCUUGCUCCUUUAAUCCAUAGUACUCGAGCAAUUCACCCUCAAGUUUCACCUCUCUUUCCUCCAACUCGUUUACUAGAUUGCGCAAACGUUCCAGUUCACUUGCAUUAUUUGCCAUCUCCAUUUCAUAACUCUUUUCUUUAUCAGCCUUGUCAAUCUUGUCACUAGGUAAUGGAUAUUCAAUUUCCCCAGAAAGAAGAUCUACAAAUUCUGGUAAAAUAUCUUCAUCUUCCAUGCCAGGUGCAACACCACGAGCUUGGUUAAAUACACUACUUAUCAAUUUGACCUCC
rnacentral:misc_RNA from 1 species